rnacentral:rRNA from 1 species
UACAGAGGGUGCGAGCGUUAAUCGGAAUUACUGGGCGUAAAGCGCGCGUAGGCGGCUUUGCAAGUCGGGGUGUGAAAUCCCCAGGCUUAACCUGGGAACUGCAUUCGAGACUGCAUUGCUAGAGUAUGGGAGAGGGAAGUGGAAUUUCCGGUGUAGCGGUGAAAUGCGUAGAGAUCCGGAGGAACCCCAGAGGCGAAGGCGGUGCCCUGGCUCGCAACUGACGCUCAGACACGACAGCAUGGGGAGCGAACGGG